CGGAGGUGCAAGCGUUGUCCGGAUUUUAUUGGGUUUUAAAGGGUGCGUUAGGCGGCUUGGUAAGUCCGUGGUGAAAGCCAACAGCUCAACUGUUGAACUGCCAUGGAUACUGCCGGGCUUGAGUACAGACGAGGUAGGCGGAAUUGAUGGUGUAGCGGUGAAAUGCAUAGAUACCAUCAAGAACCCCGAUUGCGAAGGCAGCUUACUAGGCUGUAACUGACGCUGAGGCACGAAAGCGUGGGGAGCGAACAGGAUUAGAUACCCUGGUAGUCCACGCUGUAAACGAUGAUUACUCGAUGUUGGCGAUACACGGCCAGCGUCUUAGCGAAAGCGUUAAGUAAUCCACCUGGGGGAGUACGCCCGCAAGGGUG
rnacentral:rRNA from 1 species